GAAUUUUUCCGUCUUUGUGUUCAGGUCAAGAACAAUUCAUCAAAUACUACACCGGAAAACCUAUUAACAGGCGAGAUUGCCGGUUCUGCGAUCAGGAACCGGGUUUAUCCGCAGUUUUCAUUUGCGUUUCGCUGCGAGCCACUGGGAACCGAUUUCUGAUUUGCCGUCGGCAAAACUAGGCAAGCGAAGUCCAGGACCGGGUCAACCAUCCAAUUUUGAACUCCGCCAGAAUACGCGUAUGAAGUCUUUCUUGAUCACCGAGCUCCGUGUCGCUCGGUUCUAUACUUUAAAGGGUUUAUCAAGGUAAUUCAUCUGG